GACCUGGUGGUGGAUGGCAACACACCUGCUACAUAUUCCAGUAAUCUGUAUAGAGCAUAAUUUGGCAGGGGAUCCCCGUUCGAAUCGGGGUCAGGUCG